AUACGUAGGGGGCAAGCGUUAUCCGGAUUUACUGGGUGUAAAGGGAGCGUAGACGGCGAAGCAAGUCUGAAGUGAAAGGACGGGGCCCAACCCCGGAAAUGCUUUGGAAACUGUUUGGCUGGAGUGCGGGAGGGGUAAGCGGAAUUCCUAGUGUAGCGGUGAAAUGCGUAGAUAUUAGGAGGAACACCGGUGGCGAAGGCGGCUUACUGGACCGUAACUGACGUUGAGGCUCGAAGGCGUGGUGAGCAAACAGGAUUAGAUACCCUGGUAGUCCACGCGGUAAACGAUGAUCACUAGGUGUCCGUGGGUAUGACCCAUGGGUGCCGCAGCCAACGCAAUAAGUGAUCCACCUGGGGAGUACGUUCGCAAGAAUGAAACUCAAAGGAAUUGGCGGGG
rnacentral:rRNA from 1 species